GUGUCGCUUCAGCAGCACACAUACUGAAGCUGGAAGGACACAGAGAAGGUUAGCACGGCCCCAGUACGAGGAUGACACACAACUGUGCGAAGCUUUCCAUACUGAA